CUCUAAUUAGAGCUCAAUCGGUAGAGCGUAAGACUCUUAAUCUUAAGGUCGCGGGUUCGACCCCCGCGUUGGGCU